UACGGGGGGGGCAAGCGUUGUUCGGAAUUACUGGGCGUAAAGGGCUCGUAGGCGGCCAACUAAGUCAGACGUGAAAUCCCUCGGCUUAACCGGGGAACUGCGUCUGAUACUGGAUGGCUUGAGUUUGGGAGAGGGAUGCGGAAUUCCAGGUGUAGCGGUGAAAUGCGUAGAUAUCUGGAGGAACACCGGUGGCGAAGGCGGCAUC
rnacentral:rRNA from 1 species